GAGACUGACCACUCUGAGAGAGGGUCUUCCCCUUUAGUUCAUUUCCCUGGAAAUGCUCCCCCAGACAGGCCCACAGGGAUGUCUCCUGGGUUAUUCUGUUUCCUUUCAAGUUGACGGUUGAGAUUAGCCAGACUCCAAGCCAAGGUCAGAUGGUUGAGACUUCCCCUUCAUAGAAGACUGCAGAGGCAGGGGUGCCACGGGCACUUUUAAAGAAUCAAUGAAUGAUAUUUAGAAUAAGUGAAUGAGCUCAGAGCAGAUAAGAAGGCUGUGCCAAAGAUUGAUCUCAGCUCUGGGGAGGGAGCAUUUUCAGAAGGUGAGAGGUGAGCCUCCCAGGAAGACAGCACACCCUAUCCUGCAGAUCAAGUCCCACACACAGUCUCUGGACCUGCUCUCAGAAGAACAGAGCCUGUCUGGAUGCAUUGGUGUCUCAUAGAACCUUUUGUUGUGGAGCAUCACAAAUGAUAGGAAGCUGAUAAAUCAGGUUGGGUUUCCUGAAGAGGGUGAACUUUGAAGGUGGCAAUGACAGACCCAGAUAGUCUCAGGAACCAGGAAAUAAGCUGAAGGUUCUCUUGCUGUUUGACAGCAAAGCAAAUGAGCUAUGUCCAGUGAAGAAUGAAAGCACAACCCAGAGCCUCGCAUUGCUCACUGCCUCUGUUUAAUCGUGCGUAACUCCCUGAGUCAUCGAAGAAGACAUUGAGAGUGAAGGGAGAGAUGUGCACAUCUCCUUGGUUUCUUGAUGGACUCCAUCUGGCUCUGGAGAGGUUUCUUUUCAAGAGGUGCGGUGGUAAGCAAGGACAGUCAUGAUAUUGAGAGGCACAAUGAGCAUGAGUCCCCAAGAUGAUGGAAAAAGUGGGGCUUCUUUGUAUUUCUAGGUGCAGUUCUAGAGGCAGUAAGGAAUGUGAACACCUAGCCUCAGUGGCUGAUGCUAUGAAUGGAUUCCUUCUCAGCUCUGUCACUCAGUUCUGUGACUUUGGCAAGCUCACUCUCCUGGGCUCACAACAUCCCUCUCUACAAAGACAAGAUAAUGGAGCAACUUGGGGGCCCUGAGGCUUAAUUAUUGUUUGCAGAGGACUUGAAUAUUCUUGGAUGAAUGAUGCAAUCAAGGUGCUGUGCAAAAUAUUAUCAUUUUGCAUGUCAGUUAGUGAGAUGGCUUACA